rnacentral:rRNA from 1 species
AUUUCCGAAUGGGGAAACCCAGUGUGAUUCGUCACACUAUCAUUAACUGAAUCCAUAGGUUAAUGAGGCGAACCGGGGGAACUGAAACAUCUAAGUACCCCGAGGAAAAGAAAUCAACCGAGAUUCCCCCAGUAGCGGCGAGCGAACGGGGAGCAGCCCAGAGCCUGAAUCAGUGUGUGUGUUAGUGGAAGCGUCUGGAAAGGCGCGCGAUACAGGGUGACAGCCCCGUACACAAAAAUGCACAUGCUGUGAGCUCGAUGAGUAGGGCGGGACACGUGGUAUCCUGUCUGAAUAUGGGGGGACCAUCCUCCAAGGCUAAAUACUCCUGACUGACCGAUAGUGAACCAGUACCGUGAGGGAAAGGCGAAAAGAACCCCGGCGAGGGGAGUGAAAAAGAACCUGAAACCGUGUAC